rnacentral:lncRNA from 1 species
CUUAAUCAUCUAAGCACAAUUCAGAUGUUUUCAAUUAGUCUUUUCAGUUUACAUCAUGGAGGGAGAUGCUGAAUCAGAGUUUACCCAGCCUGCUCUUGCAUCAGGAUUACUGGCUGAGCUUGGUAAAAUUACAGAUCACUCCUAGUAGUUCUGAUCUAGGACCAUUUUGGAGGAAUCUAGAAGCUUUUCGGUUUUGGUGACAACACUGGUAACAUCCAACCUAGUAUCCAAUGACAUCAUAAAGGAAACUUAGAACUGAAUGAUAAUGAAAAUAUAGAGUCAAAAUCUGUAAUGUAAAAUUCAAGCAACAGGGCUACCAGCAUCUGUAGCAUCAGUGACAGCUGUAGUCACCUAUCUUUCCGCCCUUCGGGAGGCACCCUGACCGCCCUCGCCCCAGCACAGCUCUCUCCCUCCCUUAGGGAAGAGGCUCCUCACCUUCAUCGCCACAGUCUCAUCGCAGCAUCCUUCCACGGUCAUGCCCUGGACCAUCUUAUUCCUGACUGUCGCCUCACAUUCCAGCAGUGAAGGUGCUAUGAGGUUUCAAGCAAAUUUCCUUCAUGAAUACUUCAAUGGCUUCCAGUUUUGCACUAAUUCAGAAAAGGAUACAAUGAAUCUCCAAAUAUACAGUCUUCAUGCAUUGAUUUGAAUUAAUCAAUGAAGAAUAAAC